rnacentral:rRNA from 1 species
AUUGAACGCUGGCGGCAGGCUUAACACAUGCAAGUCGAGCGAGCGGCGGACGGGUGAGUCAUGUCUGGGAAACUGCCUGAUGGAGGGGGAUAACUACUGGAAACGGUAGCUAAUACCGCAUACCAUCAGAUGUGCCCAGAUGGGAUUAGCUAGUAGGUGGGGUAAUGGCUCACCUAGGCGACGAUCCCUAGCUGGUCGGAGAGGAUGACCGGCCACACGGGAACGGAGACACGGUCCAGACUCCUACGGGAGGCAGCAUUGGGGAAUAUUGCACAAGGGGCGCAAGCCUGAUACAGCCAUGCCGGGUGUGUGAAGAAGGCCUUCGGGUUGUAAAGCACUUUCAGCGAGGAGGCGUUACUCGCAGAGGAAGCACCGGCUAACUCCGUGCCAGCAGCCGCGGUAAUUC